GGGCCCGCACAAGCGGUGGAGCAUGUGGUUUAAUUCGAUGAUACGCGAGGAACCUUACCAGGGCUUAAAUGUAGUGGGACAGGUCUAGAGAUAGACCCUUCUUCGGACUCAUUACAAGGUGCUGCAUGGUUGUCGUCAGCUCGUGCCGUGAGGUGUCAGGUUAAGUCCUAUAACGAGCGCAACCCCUAUCGUUAGUUGCCAGCGGGUAAUGCCGGGAACUCUAGCGAAACUGCCGGUGCAAACCGUGAGGAAGGUGGGGAUGACGUCAAAUCAUCACGGCCCUUACGUCCUGGGCUACACACGUGCUACAAUGGUCGGUACAGAGAGCAGCCACUACGCGAGUAGGAGCGAAUCCUUAAACUGUAAUCUCAGUUCGGAUCGGAGUCUGCAACUCGACUCCGUGAAGCUGGAAUC
rnacentral:rRNA from 1 species